GUUCCUGCCUCUACAACCCCCAUCACAGAAGCAUUGUCACUUGUCUUCAGGCAUCUUCUCUCCCAUGGCAGCCCAUAGGAAGAAGAAAAAAGAGAAGAAAAUGACACUGAUAAUCCACAAAGAGGACUAAUACAAA
rnacentral:lncRNA from 1 species